rnacentral:lncRNA from 1 species
GCUCUCCAGGCUUCAGGAAGCUAUCCGCAAGCCUUGCAAGCCCAGCAGGAGUUCCCGCGGGCUCACAAGGCUUGUGGGCAGCAGCCUGCCGCCUGAAGCACGGGGAGCCCUCCGGAGGGCUCCCCGUGCUUCGGGCGGGUGUCCGCAAGGCUUGGGGCUGCAGCCACGGCUGGGGGGGAAUAAUUUUUUUUUAUUCAUUUCCCCCACCAAAAAAACAAGGUGUGUCCUAUGGGCCGGUGCGCCCUAUAGGAUGAAAAAUACGGUACGUAUUUAAUGAAAUAAAUAAAUUAAACAAAUUACUAUUCAGCAUGAUGUCUGAACUUUGGCUUGUGGUUUGUCUCCCUGAAAGCAGGAGCGGUAAGCCAAGAACAAGACUUAGCUACAGCUCAUGGUUUGUUUGGAAAGAAACAAACAAACCGUGAGCCGGGUUCAGAUAAAACCAUGGCUUAGCACACAUCUUUCAGAAACAAGAGCAGAGGAGGAGCAAAGGACCUGCGAUUUUGACAAGAUGCACUAGCAUCUUAAGUUUAAAUCUUUAGUUUAGCUUAUGGCUUUAAGUGAUGUGCAGCCAAGGCUACUACUGUGUGAUGAUACUGAUAAGUCAUUGAGCAAACCCUAUUGAAACGAAUAUGAGCCAUGAAAACAUGUGGCGUUUUUGCACAACUUCACUUGGAUUAAACUAGUCUCGUUGUUUUUGCAAUUGCUGAUAACCUGCUUUUCUGUCACCUUCCCCCUUCUUGGAACUGUGCUGUGAGCUACAUUCGCCAUGGGGUUCAACCUUCCUGUGAGAUGUUUUCCACACCCCAACAACACUCACCAAGAGAAUCAGAACCAUUACAUAACAGGUAAUUUCCCCGUUCCUAUUCUGGGCUGCUGGCUGUGUUAAAUUCUGUCCACACCUUCCCUUUGUUCUGUUGGUUUCAAUUAGAUGGUAAGCCAUAUGGUCUGGAACAGCUAUCUGCUUCCAUACAGUGCCUAGUUGUUACAUAACUGUGGUAGUAAAGGGAGGGCCUUUUUGGGUUUACUGGAAAAAUUCAUGCCCUGUAUCAUGGAAAAGGUCCCCAUUUCGUAUCCAGAAACAAAAUUUGAAAAGACUUGAAAUUCAAGUAGUUUUGCAUUUCAUUCUGGCUGUUUCACAAAUCUCACCUUGUGGCAUCACAGCCAGAGGUGAAAUUCAAUCCCUGCUUCUAAAAGCAAGGAAAAAUACUAUUACAGUGUCUGUCUGUCUCUGUCUGUCUGUCUGUCUGUCUGUCUCUUUGACAUCAGAAAUGAGUCUGGGUAAAUGCAUGAAUUUUAUCUUUAAAAACUGUUGACUCUUAAUUCUAGCAUGUACCUACAAAGUUCAUUUCAUUCACCCAACCCAACUAAGACUGAAUUGACCACACUAUGAACACCCACAGCACGUUGUCUAAAUGAAAACCAUUUUCAAUUAGUUGAACUGUAAUCUCUUCCAAAUUGAUGGUAAGGUAUAAAGAAGGUACAGGGAAGUUCCCAUCUGCCCCAACCAACAUGACCAAUGGUCAGGGAUGAUGGGAGUUGCAGUCCACCAACACCUGGAGAGACAAAAUUUCGCUAUCCUUGAUAGAAGGCACACAUUGCUUAUAUACUUCCCUGAGACUAUGGCUGGUAACUCAUUAAGACAUGUUGCUAGACUACAAGACAGGGAAGAAGGGACUGUAGUCUAGUGUUAGAAUGCAUGCUUUGCAUAGAGAAAGUCUCACGCUUAAUUCCAUAUUUAAUCCCUUUAACCUAUGGAUUACAGGACUGGGCGACAGGUGAUGGGAAGGACUCUCUGCUAGUGAUCCUGGAUCCAGUACUACUCAGAGUAAACAACCCUGGGUGAGAUGGACAAAUAAUCCGACCUGGUAUAAACUUGCAUUUUACAGCCCCAUAUAGAGAUGGAUUUUGGUACCAUGGCAUUCUGAGCAAGGACAAAACUUGCCCCCGCCCAGAAAAAUAAUGAUUUUAUUUUUACAAUAAUUCCUUUUGGUACAGUUGCUUUUUUAUGGAACUUCUCAGCAGGUACCCAUAUAAAUAUAGGGUUGUUGUUGUUGUUGUUGUUGUUGUUGUUGUUGUUUUGUACCCCCUCAACUCUGCACCCUGUGUGGCACCCAUCCUGAAUUUGGCCCUGGCCCUUCCUCCAACUCAAUUCUCAUGGUAAGGUUCUGCAAGACAGGGAGUAACUACAGAAGUAUUUUGAAAACUUUGGAAGAUCAACAACAGCAGGGGAAAGAUAAUGUAUUUGGGGGCUCCGUUAAUUUGUCUUGCAUGGCGAAGCUUGUAGCGGCCACUGCAUUGACUAAAAAAAGACUGUGUUGAAAUGGUACAAAGGUUAAGUUGCUGAGGCCGAUACGAAACAUCUCCAUUUCAAAAGGCCAGGCUUUCAGGAGAACCACAAACGUUGGGAGAGAGCAUGCUUGGCACAUCUUAACAGUGGGCAACUGUGUUCCCUGCUGCAAUGGUUUCUCUUGGGUGGGUUACGCAGCCACACUAUUUGUAUUUGUGCCUUCUGCUUCAUUAGCAUGAGAUCGAGACCACUGGCUUUAGGCCAGAGCCUCUUGAUCAGAUUGAAGGCAUUUGCACUUUCAUUUUGCACAUGACGUGCUGACACAAAGCACUGCUUGAAGAAGUUCUACCCUGGCUGCCAUGUCCUCCGAGCAUCCAUGGCUGCUCCUUACAUGUAUGGCAUUUGGCGAGUGGUAGAGAAACUAGCAGGGUGGCGCUGUGGGUUAAACCACAGAGCCUAGGACUUGCCGAUCAGAAGGUCGGUGGUUCAAAUCCCCGCAACGGGGUGAGUUCCCGUUGCUCGGUCCCUGCUCCUGCCAAUCUAGCAGUUCGAAAGCACGUCAAAGUGCAAGUAGAUAAAUAGGUACCGCUCUGGUGGGAAGGUAAACGGCGUUUCCGUGCACUGCUCUGGUUCGCCAGAAGUGGCUUAGUCAUGCUGGCCACAUGACCCGGAAGCUGCACGCCGGCUCCCUCGGCCAAUAAAGCGAGAUGAGCGCCACAACCCCAGAUUUGGCCACGACUGGAGCUAAUGGUCAGGGGUCCCUUUACCUUUUAGAGAAACCAGCAUCCAAAGAACCUCAGCUUAUGCUUAGACAGGAGGGCCACAGAAGUCGGUACGGGUUUGACUGGUGAUGGUGAUGGUGUGCGGGAUAAUUGCCAGUGGGUUUUACAGGCCUCUCACUUGCCCUUUUCUGACUCUCAUGCAUGUGUUCUCAAUCCCAUAUAGGGUGGGGAAGAUGAUCAGGUAUUGGGGAUGAGUGGCGUCGCUCAGUUUGCAUCAAAAGAGUUGCCACUGGGCGAGCAGAGACUGAAAGACUGAGGACCCAAUGAGAAGAGCCUCUUUCGUACAUCAUGAUGAACAUUCACACAUGGGAUCACAGCCACUGGUAUCUCUUCAGAUGAAGGCAUAGGAAAAGCAUGUGCAUGUUCUGACCACAAGCAAGUGCAGUCUCACUCUCCUACCUCUCACCACAACAAUGUGCAUGCUCCUAAUAACAUCUUAUCCGGAGACCUGUUCCACACAAUGUAGGAAGAAGAAGAGUUUGGAUUUGGAUUUGAUAUCCCGCUUUAUCAAUACCCUAAGGAGUCUCAAAGCGGCUAACAAACUUCUUUUCCCUUCUUCCCCCACAACAAACACUCUGUGAGGUGAGUGAGGCUGAGAGACUUCAGAGAAGUGUGACUAGCCCAAGGUCACCCAGCAGCUGCAUGUGGAGGAGCGGGGAAUCAAACCCGGUUCACCAGAUUAUGAGUCCACUGCUCUUAACCACUACACCACACUGGACACUUCGCAUUAUGGCAGCUGCCCUACUGAAGAUCUUCCUCUUUUAACCAGCCUUUUCCAGUCUGCAUCUGUACUAAAAUAGUUUUUAAGAUUUUUACAACAGCUCUAUCCCUUGUUGUUUUCUGCCCUGGGAUGAAGGGCGGGAUACAAAUUUAACAAAUAAACAACCAGCGCAACCCAUCAACUUCCACAAUUUUAUACUAUCAUGAGUCUCUAAUGUAGGAGUGGAAAAUAUUUUUUGUGUCUGCCAGCCAGAUCCUGAUCAGAUUCUAGCCUAGAAGGCGGAUAGUGGAUCUGGAAGGUGGAUCUGUCAAACGCCUGGCAUCACUGUGUGCUGUGAUUUCAGUUUUACUGUUCAUCGGCUGAUGGGCAGUAGAGUUCCCAGGAAUCUUUGGGGAAGUCACAUGCCUUCCCCAUAUGAUGUGGGUAUGACCUACCGUAUUUUUCGCUCUAUAGGACGCACUUUUUCCCCUCCAACAAUUAAGCGGAAAUGUGUGUGCGUCCUAUGGAGCGAAUUCAGGC